rnacentral:rRNA from 1 species
AACGAACGCUGGCGGCAUGCCUAACACAUGCAAGUCGAACGAGCCCUUCGGGUCUUGUUGCGCACGGGUCCGUAACGCGUGGGUACCUGCCCUUUGGUUCGGCUUCACUUCCCGCUAGGGUUGCUCCUGCAGGCUAAUGUCUUCGGCCCAAAGAUUUAUCGCUUUUGGAUGGGCCCGCUUUGGAUUAGCUAGUUGGUAGGGUAAAAGCCUACCAAGGCGACGAUCUAUAUCUGUUCUGAGAGGAAGAGCAGCCACACUGGGAGUGCGUAACGGCCCAGAAUCCUACGGGAGGCAGCAGUGGGGAAUAGUGGACAAUGGGCGAAAGCCUGAACCAGCAAUGACGCGUGAGUGAUGAAGGCCGUAGGGUUGUAAAACUCGUGUACCCGGGAUGAUAAUGACAGUACCGGGAGAAUAAGCUCCGGCUAACUCCGUG